CUUUCUUUGCUGGCGACCGGCGCACGGGUGAGUAACACGUAUCCAACCUGCCCUUUACUCGGGGAUAGCCUUUCGAAAGAAAGAUUAAUACCCGAUGGCAUAAUGAUUCCGCAUGGUUUCAUUAUUAAAGGAUUCCGGUAAAGGAUGGGGAUGCGUUCCAUUAGGUUGUUGGUGGGGUAACGGCCCACCAAGCCUUCGAUGGAUAGGGGUUCUGAGAGGAAGGUCCCCCACAUUGGAACUGAGACACGGCCAA
rnacentral:rRNA from 1 species